rnacentral:rRNA from 1 species
AUGCCACUAGAUCUGUAUGACCAUGGCAAAUCCAGCUCCUUCAUGACUAUGCCAGCGCAGGAUGGUGGGCUUGGCUUGAUCCUUGUGAAUGACUUCUAUGCCAAAUUAUGGAAGAGGGGGGCUGGCUGCAAUGGUGUCGCUCUAUGGGUGCCGGGGAUAACUAUUCAACUGGGUAAGCUUCUUUCACUGAAUGCUGAGCACAAUAGAGGUCCACUAUCUCUGCUGGGGUUCGCCGAGGGCAACAAUGCAUUCGUGGUUGGGGCACCUAGGAUCGGUAUCUUCGUGGUCUAUCUCAAUCCUCUGAGGUUUAAGAAGAUUUAUGAAAGGAGGGAUCUUUGUAUCUUUCAUCCAUUUGAGAGUUUCUGUGUUGCAGGUAUCUAG